GCCAAUGCCAGAUGACCAGGCCAAACUCCUAUAUAUUGAAGCCAGGUAUCAGAAGAGAGACACAAACGCUUCUCCUCAACUUGCCAGAGCUUCUCCCAUGGCGACCUUUACCUCUGGUUAUGCAGCUGCUGAUGAUAACAGGUUUCGUUAUAGAUCUAGAGGUAAUCGUGGUGGUAGCGUCAGUCGAAUUGUAACUUCUUCCUCUCACAGUUCGGGAACAUGGAGCUCGGUAACCUGCUAUUUUCUAGUCAGUUCUAUUUUCGAGGAAUCUGAUUCUACGGUCACUUUGAGUGUCGAUUUAAGUUAAACAACCGACUGGGGAUGCACGAUAACUUUUUUUUUUUUCCAGAAGCUCCCAAAGGUGUGAUGACAAAAGAUGUGUUCACGGAUUCCCCCCAAAAGAUGUGUUAAUGGAACACUCAUUUGAGCAAGAUUACUACACUGCCUCGUCCUCGGACCUUCAUCAUGGCCCAGGACGAUGGACGAUUCUCCCUCGUAUAUCAUGGAACGGAGAGAAGCAUGUCGAUUAGUGGAGCUGAUAUCGUUGUUUGAUGUAUGAACUAAUAGAUCGUAUUAAAUAAGUCUAUAUUCAAAUAAUUUUUUUAUAUAUAUAAUGAAGAUCCAUGGAGUACAUGAAUAGAAAUGCGAAUAGAUGGACACGAAAAGUCCCAUUGAGAAUGAUCCAA